UACAGAGGUGCCGAGCGUUAGGCGGAAUCACUGGGCUUAAAGCGCGUGUAGGCGGGUCGUUAAGUGCCUUGUGAAAUCCCACGGCUCAACCGUGGAACGGCUGGGCAUACUGGCGAUCUUGAGGCACCCAGGGGCUGUCGGAACAAAUGGUGGAGCGGUGAAAUGCGUAGAUAUCAUUUGGAACGCCAACGGUGAAAACAGACAGCUGGGGGUGUCCUGACGCUGAGACACGAAAGCCAGGGGAGCGAACGGG
rnacentral:rRNA from 1 species